UGACGCCCCACCAUCGCCGCCGUCAUCGCCAUCGACGCCGCUGCGGCAAGGCACGAUUGAGUUGACCCAUCCUCCCCUCCUUCACAUCGACCCACAACGAUAUAGUUCGGGCACUCGUUACGUGAGAGCGCUUAGGAUUCGAGUCGGCAAAGAGCGACAAGGCUGCCAUCGAUUCCUUCCCACGUGUCCUCGCGCCCUCUGCUCCCCCAGCACCCCUCCCCACCUUCUCGCCCGCUCACACCAUGGCGGAGCCGGUCACCAAUGAGAAUCUUCAGAUUCUCUUGACGAAGCUGAUGACGGACCGCUUCUGCUCGCAAGAGGCCAGCGAUCUCGACGCAUGCGUUCAGAACUUUGUGCCGCAGCACAUCGAUGGCAGCUACGUGGAUCAGAGUCUCCAGCGGCGAGGGAUCAGGCGGUGCAAGCCGUAUCAGGAGAUGGCGCGGAAGUGCCUGGAAGACGACAAGAAACAAACGGCGAUCUUCCGCGCAGCCGCGAUGGCGCCGACGUGCAAGAAUGAGCAGCGAGCGCUGCAGCGCUGCCAGCGCGCGAAGGGGCGCGACUGCGAGGCCGAGGCGCUAGAGACGGUGUACUGCGGUAUGGUCUACCUCGUGCAGCGGCAGAAGGAGCGCCAGAGCGGUGCCGCGGCGCCGCGCUUGGCGGAGUAACUGGACAAUGCGCGUUCGUCCAGCCUGACAUGGCAGGCGGAGGGAGGUGCGGCAGAUGACACGCUGCCUGAAGAUGCUUCGCCCCAUCCGCGACACGCUCUCUUCUCUCCCCGUGCACCGCGCCUCCCAGGGGUUCACCACAUGCGUGAGUUUGCGCCAUGACGUUGUUGCUCUUGUCUUGCUCGUCAUUGUCAUCGUUGUGCCUGCCGUGGGGCGGGGCUGUGCGUGUGUGUGCGUGUGUGUGCACGCGUGUUUGUUACGCUCCUUGUUGUUUGCCGUCGAUGAUGUGCCCGCGUUCGUCCCACCUGCAGACGACUCUCUUUCUCUGUCUCUCUCGCUCUCCGUUGUAACUAAAGCGAUGUGCCUUCUCCCAUUCCCCUAUGGCACGCAGGGCGCAUUACAUGCUCACCUCUACACACACACGCGCAUAUACAUAUACAUAUAUAUAUAUAUAUAUAUAUAUGUAUAUGUAUAUAUAGGGCGAGACACGGACACGUGCAGGCGGAUCCUCGCAUCCCGAAUGAAGGUGAGAGGAGAUCGAACAUCAACCAAAGAAGACAGAGGACAGGAAAGGCAAGGCGAGCUGUAGGAGAGAGGGACGGGCGAGGGUUCAUGCCGUCAUACCGUCGCUACGAGGCCGCCUCCACAACCGCGGAGCAUGGAUAAGCGGAACAAGGAAUGAGCGACUCAGGAGAGGGCCACGGAGGAUGUGCACGUUGCCCUCCCCCUUCCCCCAAAGCAACUAACUCGCUCCCUCCCUUGACUCCACUUCGCCCUCUUCUUGUGCUCAUCGUCUUCGCUUCCUUGUUGUUGUGUGUGUGCCAUGUGCACUGACGUGCCUUCGCUUGAGCCGUUCUGGUUCUCUCCGCAUGAAGCUCGCUGCUUUCACCCCUAGCGCAUUGUCCUUCUGUUUUCGGCGCUGCCGCUGUAGCCACCUGCCCGCGUCUCCUUCUCGUUUGCUUCCUCGCCUCCCUGCUUCCCCCCUCCCUCCCUCCCCCAUCUCUCCAG
rnacentral:misc_RNA from 1 species